rnacentral:rRNA from 1 species
UGCGUAGGCGGCUUUGUAGGUGGGGUGUGAAAGCCCACGGCUCAACCGUGGAAUUGCGCUCCAAACCACAAGGCUUGAGGGAGACAGAGGUGAGCGGAACUGAUGGUGGAGCGGUGAAAUGCGUUGAUAUCAUCAGGAACACCCGUGGCGAAGGCGGCUCACUGGGUCUCUUCUGACGCUGAGGCACGAAAGCUAGGGGAGCGAACG